rnacentral:rRNA from 1 species
GGCAAGCGUUGUUCGGAAUUACUGGGCGUAAAGGGCUCGUAGGCGGCCAACUAAGUCACACGUGAAAUCCCCAGGCUCAACCUGGGAACUGCGUGUGAUACUGAAAGGCUUGAAUCCGGGAGAGGGAUGUGGAAUUCCAGGUGUAGCGGUGAAAUGCGUAGAUAUCAGGAGGAACACCGGUGGCGAAGGCGGUUCUCUGGGCAUUACCUGACGCUGAGGAGCGAAAGUGUGGGGAGCGAACAGG